rnacentral:rRNA from 1 species
UGAGACAGUUCGGUCCCUAUCUGCCGUGGGCGCUGGAGAACUGAGGGGGGCUGCUCCUAGUACGAGAGGACCGGAGUGGACGCAUCACUGGUGUUCGGGUUGUCAUGCCAAUGGCACUGCCCGGUAGCUAAAUGCGGAAGAGAUAAGUGCUGAAAGCAUCUAAGCACGAAACUUGCCCCGAGAUGAGUUCUCCCUGACUCCUUGAGAGUCCUGAAGGAACGUUGAAGACGACGACGUUGAUAGGCCGGGUGUGUAAGCGCAGCGAUGCGUUGAGCUAACCGGUACUAAUGAACCGUGAGGCUUAACCU